rnacentral:rRNA from 1 species
AGAGUUUGAUCCUGGCUCAGAGCGAACGUUAGCGGCGCGCUUAACACAUGCAAGUCGAGCGAGAAUGAGGGCUUCGGCUCUCUAGUACAGCGGCGCACGGGUGAGUAACACGUAGGUAAUCUGCCUCUUGGUCGGGGACAACCUUCCGAAAGGAGGGCUAAUACCGGAUGAGACCACGCCGACCACGGUCGGAGGGGUCAAAGGUGGCCACUUCACGAAAGCUAUCGCCAAGAGAUGAGCCUGCGUCCCAUCAGCUAGUUGGUAGGGUAAUGGCCUACCAAGGCUUCGACGGGUAGCUGGUCUGAGAGGAUGAUCAGCCACACUGGAACUGAGACACGGUCCAGACUCCUACGGGAGGCAGCAGUGGGGAAUCUUGCGCAAUGGGCGGAAGCCUGACGCAGCGACGCCGCGUGGGUGAUGAAGGCCUUCGGGUUGUAAAGCCCUGUGGGGAGGGACGAACACGUUGCGACCCAAUACGUCGUGACUUUGACGGUACCUCCUUAGCAAGCACCGGCUAACUCUGUGCCAGCAGCCGCGGUAAGACAGAGGGUGCAAACGUUGCUCGGAAUUACUGGGCGUAAAGCGCAUGUAGGCGGCUUCGUAAGUCGGAUGUGAAAGCCCUCGGCUUAACCGAGGAAGGGCAUUCGAUACUGCAAAGCUAGAGUACCGGAGAGGGUCGUGGAAUUCCUGGUGUAGAGGUGAAAUUCGUAGAUAUCAGGAGGAACACCGGCGGCGAAGGCGGCGACCUGGACGGAUACUGACGCUCAGAUGCGAAAGCGUGGGUAGCAAACAGGAUUAGAUACCCUGGUAGUCCACGCUGUAAACGAUGGGUACUAGGUGUCGCGGGUAUUGACCCCUGCGGUGCCGAAGCUAACGCAUUAAGUACCCCGCCUGGGGACUACGGCCGCAAGGCUAAAACUCAAAGGAAUUGACGG